CGGACGGGUGAGUAACGCGUGGAAAACCUGCCGUAUACUGGGGGAUAACACUUAGAAAUAGGUGCUAAUACCGCAUAAGCGCACAGCUUCGCAUGAAGCGGUGUGAAAAACUCUGGUGGUAUACGAUGGUUCCGCGUCUGAUUAGCUAGUUGGUGGGGUAAUGGCCUACCAAGGCAACGAUCNGUAGCCGGCCUGAGAGGGUGAACGGCCACAUUGGGACUGAGACACGGCCCAAACUCCUACGGGAGGCAGCAG
rnacentral:rRNA from 1 species